AUAAUGGGGUUCUUCCAUUUUUCUCCAGUAUUUUUACAAAAACGCGACAGCUGUUUCGUCAACCUUUACAUAUUGACGUUAUCAAGCGUACUGAUACAAAUAUGAGCCUACAUGCGUUUUGUGACGUCAUGAGGACGGAAAGAUAAUUCGUGAAGCACCAAUUGCAGACUUGGUGAGAGGUCCUUGGAAAUUAAAGUUACAGUCCAUAAUUGUCGAAAAGGAACUGUUUUUUGGUCUUGUUGGAAACUUGUUAAGACUGUUGUGCAUUUUAUUUUUCUAUUCUCCCUCAGAAGAACCUUCCUUCCUUCAUCAGUUUUGAUCAGCAUCAGGAUUUUGGAAAUGCAUAAUGUUUAAUGGUACUUCAUGGAACAUUACCAAUAGCAACUCUUAAGUGGUAUGAGAAAACAGUGAAUUAUUGUAUGCAUAUUUAACAAAUUUAAACACAAGUAAACUUCGUUUUGAAUAUUAGAUUCAUACAUCAGCAGUGACAUCUGGUUGUAGUCCUUCAAGAUAUUGUACUUAAUUUUUAACAGAUUUACUCGGUAAUUAUUUGUAAACAAUUCUGUGUUAAGAGUUGUGAAUUGAACACAUUGUCAUUACAGAACAGGACAGGACAUAAGGCUAAAAUGAAUCCAGGACAUUCUGUAGAAUUUCCUUUGAAAAGUGAAACUGAAGGUUCAUUAUCACUACAUACCAUAAAUCAAGA